CCCGGGGAAAGGGUUUGGGAUCCCAAACUUAAGGUUUGGGUUCCCUUUCUUAUGGCCUACCCAUUACCAAAAACCAAUUCCAAAUUUUCCCCAUUUUUUCGCCAAAUAACCUCGGUUAAAAACUUAAAAUUUAAAGGGCUUGCCGGUUCCCCCCACCACCCUAGAGGGGCCUGUUUUAUAACCGAUACCCCCCGGUCCACCCACCCCUUUUUAGCCUACAGUCUAUAUACCGCCGUCGCCAGCCUUCCUUAUGAAAGAAACAAAGUGAGCUAAAUAGUCAUACACUAACACGACAGGUCGAGGUGUAACUUUAUGAUAGGGGCCUAAGAUGGGCUACAUUUUCUAACACAGAAAACACGAAUUAAACUAUGAAAUAAGGAACUGAAGGCGGAUUUAGCAGUAUACUAAGAACAAGACACCUAGUCGAAACCAACGCAAUGAGGUGCGUACACACCGCCCGUCAUCCCUGCCAACCAAACAAACCAUAAAUAAAAACACAUUAAAUCCUAAAACAGGGCAAGUCGUAACAUGGUAAGCGUACUGGAAAGUGCGCUUAGAAACAAAAAGUAGCUUACAAAAAGCAUUCGACUUACACUCGAACGACAUUACAUUAAUCUUUUUGAGCUUAUAACAGAUUAUACAAACAUACUAAACCUAACCAAACAAAACAUUUGACCGACCCAGUAGAUGUGAUCGAACAGUAAAACAACGGACACUAGUCCGCAAGGGAAACACA
rnacentral:rRNA from 1 species